CUUUCCUACGGGACGCAGCAGUGGGGAAUUUUGCGCAAUGGGCGAAAGCCUGACGCAGCAACGCCGCGUGAGUGAAGAAGGGUUUCGGCUCGUAAAGCUCUGUUGGUAGUGAAGAAAGAUAGAGGUAGUAACUGGCCUUUAUUUGACGGUAAUUACUUAGAAAGUCACGGCUAACUACGUGCCAGCAGCCGCGGUAAUACGUAGGUGGCAAGCGUUGUCCGGAUUUAUUGGGCGUAAAGCGAGUGCAGGCGGGU
rnacentral:rRNA from 1 species